AUACUUACCUGGUAGGGGAGACACCGUGAUUCUCAAGAUGGUUUUCCCAGGGUGAGACUUAUCCAUUGCACUUGCAGGUGCCUACCCCUUCAAUUUUCCCAAGUGUGGGAAACUCGACUACAUAAUUUGUAGUAGUUGGGGAUUGUGUUUGUGCCCCAU